UACGUAGGUGGCAAGCGUUGUCCGGAUUUAUUGGGUUUAAAGGGUGCGUAGGCGGUCCUAUAAGUCAGUGCUGAAAUAUCCCGGCUUAACCGGGAGGGUGGCAUUGAUACUGUAGGACUUGAGUAAAGUUGAGGUUGGAGGAAUUGACGGUGUAGCGGUGAAAUGCUUAGAUAUCGUCAAGAACACCUAUUGCGAAGGCAGCUAACUAAGCUUUAACUGACGCUGAGGCACGAAAGUGUGGGGAUCAAACAGG
rnacentral:rRNA from 1 species